rnacentral:rRNA from 1 species
AUUGAACGCUGGCGGCAGGCCUAACACAUGCAAGUCGAACGGUAACAGGAAGCUGCUUGCUGCUUCGCUGACGAGUGGCGGACGGGUGAGUAAUGUCUGGGAAGCUGCCUGAUGGAGGGGGAUAACUACUGGAAACGGUAGCUAAUACCGCAUAAUGUCGCAAGACCAAAGAGGGGGACCUUCGGGCCUCUUGCCAUCGGAUGUGCCCAGAUGGGAUUAGCUUGUUGGUGGGGUAACGGCUCACCAAGGCGACGAUCCCUAGCUGGUCUGAGAGGAUGACCAGCCACACUGGAACUGAGACACGGUCCAGACUCCUACGGGAGGCAGCAGUGGGGAAUAUUGCACAAUGGGCGAAAGCCUGAUGCAGCCAUGCCGCGUGUAUGAAGAAGGCCUUCGGGUUGUAAAGUACUUUCAGCGGGGAGGAAGGGAGUAAAGUUAAUACCUUUGCUCAUUGACGUUACCAGCAGAAGAAGCACCGGCUAACUCCGUG